AUUGAACACUGGCGGAAUGCUUUACACAUGCAAGUCGAACGGCAGCACGGACUUCGGUCUGGUGGCGAGUGGCGAACGGGUGAGUAAUGUAUCGGAACGUGCCCAGUCGUGGGGGAUAACGUAGUGAAAAUUACGCUAAUACCGCAUACGAUCUGUGGAUGAAAGCGGGGGAUCGCAAGACCUCGCGCGAUUGGAGCGGCCGAUAUCAGAUUAGGUAGUUGGUGGGGUAAAGGCCCACCAAGCCAACGAUCUGUAGCUGGUCUGAGAGGACGACCAGCAACACUGGAACUGAGACACGGUCCAGACGCCUACGGGAGGCAGCAGUGGGGAAUUUUGGAAAAUGGGCGAAAGCCUGAUCCAGCCAUUCCGCGUGCAGGAUGAAGGCCCUCGGGUUGUAAACUGCUUUUGUACAGAACGAAAAGGUUUCUACUAAUACUAGGAGCUCAUGACGGUGCUGUAAGAAUAAGCACCGGCUAACUACGUGCCAGCCGCCGCCGUAA
rnacentral:rRNA from 1 species